CUACGAUGGCAGCUCAGAGCUGACUCGAGGACUUUGCUGUCCACAGAAAGGUUCAUUAUCUAAGGAUCCAACGGGGUCAGAGAAAUGCCCCAGGAACAAGCUUGGUACUCCUAGAUGACCCCCAGAAGAUCCUCUCGACAGGUCCACUCCAUCUGAGCUCUCAGCAGAACACCCGGGCAGACCUCCACAGGGGGUCCCCCUCAGCAGGACAUCCCCAUCGGUCACCACCGGCUACCCCAGCAGGUGCGGCUCUGCACCAUGACGAGACGUCUUGCUACACAGGAGUAGCUUUGUCUGUUUCCCUGCUCCCUGUCAGUAUCGCACACACCGGACACAUCUGCAACAGCAUUACCUGCUGCGUGGGCACCCCGUGAGGGACCUGCAGUGUGGACCCCACUGCUUCACUGGUCCUGGGAUUAGAGCAGGUGAGGAGAGCAUUCCAGCUGGAUAUCAUUCUGGACAGAAGCAAAGCCCACAGAGAAGGGCUGGCUUUCCAUACCACCCACAGAUGGAUGGAGGGCUAGCUAAGCCCCCAGGCUGCCUGUCCAGUCCUGCCCAGCAUGCAGACAUCCCAGAUUCUGAGCCCUGGGCUUGACAAGCAUUUGGACAGCCCUGAAUUCUGUCUGCAUGCACACAAGCUCCAUGUGGUCUCCAAGCACCAAGCAUGGCUUUCUCAGCAACGCUUUGCCUGGAGUUUGCCUUUUCCACGGAAUGUUACUGCACACACAAGGUCCCCACUUUGACAAGAGCCUCCUCUUAAGCUGUGGAGAGUGUCCCUCGUUUGACAGCUGAACACUUCUCUGGUAACUGAAGGGUUGCUUCUAAUUUGCUAUCUCUUAAACAGCCUGCCAUGAGCGAUUAUUAUUUCCACAGAGUUCAUUUCCAAAAGCACAAUCAUUGGGUGCUUUACAUUAAUUUACGACCCUAGCAACACUCAGCCAUGCUCCAACUGCCAGGCCCUGGUCAUUCUGUCCCCAAAGCUCUCUCCCACUCUGCACUGAGGCAUCUGUUUCUUGGUAUGUAGAUGGAUUGCCCCAAUCUGUGCCUGAGUGAUCACACAGUAUGUAUGUCUGUGUGAUCUUUCCAUGACAACACCAGUAAGGUUUUUGGUAUGACCCAAUUCUAACUUAAUGGCAUAAGAAACUGCCCUAUUUUAUUUUUAAUUUAAAAAGGUUUUAUUUAUGUACUUUUUUUGUUUGUUUAUCAAGACAGGGUCUCUCUAUGUCGCCCUGGAUGUCCUGGAA